rnacentral:pre_miRNA from 1 species
AAAUAGGGUAAUAUCCCAUAUAUAUAUAUAUAUUUGACUUUUCGUCUUAUUUGAAAUUUUUUUUACAAUUAAUAUUUUGAUUGUUAGAUGGUAAAACAUGAAUAGUAAUUUAUGCGGAACUAAUUUUUUUAUGCUUUUUACAAUUUUUCAAAUAAGACGAAUGGUCAAACGUUGGACACAUAAAUCGAGAAAUUAAA